rnacentral:rRNA from 1 species
AAUCAACGCUGGCGGCGUGCCUAACACAUGCAAGUCGAACGCGAGAGGGGCUUCGGCCCUGAUUGAGUGGCAAACGGGUGAGUAACGCGUGGGUGACCUACCUUCGAGUGGGGGAUAACGUUCCGAAAGGGACGCUAAUACCGCAUAACAUCCUGUCUUUGGACAGAUGGAGAUCAAAGCCGGGAUCGUAAGACCUGGCGCUUGAGGAGGGGCCCGCGUCCGAUUAGCUAGUUGGUGGGAAUGGCUCACCAAGGCAACGAUCGGUAGCCGGCCUGAGAGGGCGGACGGCCACACUGGGACUGAGACACGGCCCAGACUCCUACGGGAGGCAGCAGUGGGGAAUUGUUCGCAAUGGGCGCAAGCCUGACGACGCAACGCCGCGUGAAGGAUGAAGGUCUCGGAUUGUAAACUUCUGUUGAUCGGGACGAACAGCCAAGGGAUCAAUACCCC